rnacentral:lncRNA from 1 species
UGGGUGGCUGGUGGCCUCAAUUCUGGGCAGAUAGACCUAGGCUGACUCCAUAACUCGCUGUGACAUUGGGUAAUUUACUUAACUGCUCCAACCUCAGUUGCCCCAUCUGUAUAAAGGCAGAUAUUGAUAUUGGUGCUUUCAUCAUCUUAUUGAGAGGAUGGUGUGGGAGAAUGCGUAUCCCCUAAACAUAGCACCUGCCACUCUCAAUAAACAUUAGUACUUGUUAUCAGUUCUAAUCCCAUCAUUAGCAGCUCUGCAGCCUUGGCAAAUAAAUUCAGUUUCUUGAGACUUGACUUUCUCAUCUGUAAAAUGGCAAUAACAAUCUCUGCUGGCCCAGCUUGAGAUGUCAUUGAGAAGAUGAAAUGAGAUGAUAGAUAUUGUGUGAGUCAAAGGCUGUGAAUGGCAGAGUCCCUGCUCAAUUAUGUUUAAUGAAGAAAUAGGAAAUUCAUAGGCUCAUAUCACUUGAUCAUAGGAGGGCUGAAGCCAGCGGAGCUAGGCACCUGCUUUUUGUCUCUCAUCUCUGUCUCUUUGUGCAUGACUUCAUCUUUGCCAUGAGAAAGGCUGGAGGCAUGCUCACAGGCAGCUCCACCUACCCGCUGUCCUCAUGUCUGAACAGGAAAGAAGCCUCCUCACCAGUCUCAGGAAGAAAAAUCCUAGAGAAGGCUCUGAUUAGACCAACAUGGUCACAUGGCCACCUGUGUAGCAGGAGAGAAAAGGAACACACUGUACGAGAGAGGAGAAGCAGUUCUCUAAGCAGAAGGGAGCUGUUUGUUACUAGAUGAAGGAGACAGAGCACUGGGCAGACAAGUGGAACAGAUGUCCCCUCCAUAGACAUGGCACCCCAUAGCUUAGAGAGAGAGUUCUAAACUAUGGGAGAGUUUGAAAUUUGCUUUACAGAUAUAAGGUGACAUUACUGCUAUUCAUAUCAUUUCACAACAUGCAAUCGUUUAUGGGAACCUCUGAGAGUCAGGGGAGAUGAGAAAAAGGAAGUGGAGAUCAGAACAGAUCACAGAGCGAGAUCACUGAAUGGUCAGCAACAGGCUAUUUUGCAUACUUUCUCAUGUCAUCUUUGCAAGAACCUACAUCUUUGCAAGUAGGAAUUAACAGUCUGCAUUUUCAAGGGAAAGACCUUGAAUUUCUCCCUUGGACUCUGCUCCUCUCCUAGAGCCUCCUUCCAGUUUGGAAAAAGUUCUCCACUCCCAGUUUGGGUGUAAGGCCUUCACUUACACCCAAGUGUAACUGUGUAAGGCAAUCCUGUUUGAGGUCUGUCAAUCUGAGCUUGACCUUGGCUCUAUGAGCCCUUACUGGGUGGGGGUCUCAGGCAAGUCUGUGCCAUGCAUUUCCUCAUUGCACAUGGGGAUGACAAUGACUGUUUCCUGGGUAUGUGUGUGUUGGGUGGGGGGGGCGGUAGGUGUUGGGGGGCGGUAGGUGUGGGGAGGUGGUGGAGAUUCAGUGAGAUAAUUCUAGUGCAAUGCCUGCCUGGUACGAUGAUCAACGUGGGACCUACCCAUGACCACGUGAGGCUGUGAGCCACCCCUGAGCCCUUUUCCUUUUGGGGACCCACUGAGAGCCAUGCACAGAGGGAGAGGCUGCUGUCAUUUGUGGUAACCAGCAACAGUUGGUUGGAAAUUCCAGUCACUGGCCAAGGUCAGAUUGAAGGGAGCUCUUUAGAUUCCGGUUCUACCCCUUUUCCCUCACUAUAAGCCCUGUGUCUUCGGCUCUACUCUUUCUUCAUGCUGUGCCGAGAUCAUGCAAAAUUAUUAAACUAAAAUCAUUCAGCAGGAAAGGCAACACGAGCAAUCAUAGUUUGCUGCUGAGAAGCCAUGGCC